AUUUGACUGUAUUGUCUGUAGGAUUCCCAAUAAAAUGCCCUAUAAAUUGUUAGGCACGGCGGUGGAAGCAUAAUGCCCAGGGGCUAUUCUGGUGCUUAAAAAAAUGAGAGAAACUUCUGGUUAAUUUGACAGGAUUUCUGUUCUUCAGGGAAACUGAACUUUAAAAAAUGUUUAACGGCUCAUUUAAGGAGCUUGACAAUAUCCACAGACUGAUGAUUUUGUGUUCCAUCAAUGCAGUGAUGGCUGCUAAUACAAAAAAUACAAAACUUUCACUGUCCUCAGUUGAUUUGAAAAUACACCAUUAGCCAAAAGUUUGACGCACUUGUCCACCGUUUUGAAAGCACAAACGCGUUCAAAUAUAUUCCUCCCUUCUCAUUUCCAUAAAGAAUUCAUGUAAACUUCUGCCCUGUAACUAGUUUAUCAGGAUCACACACACACACACGAUUGGAAUAAUGACAGUCUUUUCCUCUUGAUUAUGCCAGUCUGAACGUCCACAUAUCCUGUAGUAGUCAAAGCUGUAAAUAGAACUUGUUGAUAUGCCAGUCAGGGACACAAGUGUUAUAGCAGGAUUCAGACAAAGUCUUGGAAUCUCCAGGUGCAGAGGGUUUUUUUUUUUCCUAAAUGUGUCAUGGAGUCUGCUUUCCUCACUUUUAUUCUUGUUUUUUUUCUCACAAUGUGCUCCAGUCAAAUUGGAACCACAGAUUUGAAUGAUGUUGUGGUGGCUGAAGAGAACAUGCCUACCACCCUGGGCUGCACUGAUACAACAGCGAAAGGUGACAUAUCAAUUAGCUGGAUGGUGAAAUCACUCAGCACGGAUGAAUGGAAGCUGCUUCUCACCGCCACUGAAAGGAACAAUUUCUCUGGUGCCUCUUCGAGAGCAUCCAUGCAAUUGCUUGACAGGAACUUCAAAGACAGCGGAGUGUUUUCACUGUAUUUGGUACCCACAGUGGAGGACAGCGGUCUCUAUACCUGUCUCAUAAAACAAAAAGGGAGGAAACUAAAGGAGAGGAUUCAUCUACUAGCAAUACUUAGAGUAAGAAUCGUUCCUGCUCCACCCCUCCCUCAGCACAGCACCCUGCGGUUGAUAGCCAAAGUUACUCCUGAAAAUGCCGUCACCAAAAUCACUUGGACGGCACCAAGUGGAAUGCUCAUGAAGACCGAGCUUAAGCCAAACACAGGGGUGGUAGCCAAGCUGCCGCAGAUCCAAACCAGUGACCGUGGGACCUAUGUCUGUUCGGUCUACUCCCAGAAAAACAGUUCUCGUGUGUUCGCCACACAGGUGGAAGUCACUGUUGACGCAGGCAAAGUGGCUGAAUUCAAAAAUGCAACACAUGGCUCAAUGAUCUUCACUGGUGUUCAGGCUCAGAAACCCUACCUCCUGACCUGUCCUGAUGUCCCUGGGGACUUAGUUGUGCUGCAUCGACUACCUGCAGAUGUCAAGAAGAGGGAAAUGAAAGUCGCACAUGAGUACGACCGCUGGAGGGAUUUCACCUUCCAAACAGAUCAAAGCAAACGUCUUCGGCUGGCCGGUCCACCCUUUAAUGCCAAGGCUGGGAUAUUCUCUUUCCUGCUCACCCCUGAGUUAAAAGAUGGUGGCCUCUAUGUCUGCGAAGUUUCUCUCAAUGAUAACAUCUUCAGCCAAUGGACAACACUCAGUGUGCUGAAAGUUAAAACUAGAUAUUAUGCUUCAAGGGUGGAGUUGCUGUGCCUUUACUCCGAGUUGUCCCAGGUCCAAAGUGCCAAGUGGAAGCACCAUAAUGAGAGUCGUCGGUUGGAGAUGUCGAGCAGCAAGCCUGGGUGCAUCAGCACUGUCCUGCCUUCACCCAUCACCCCUGAAACAGCAGGGAACUACACCUGCAGCCUGCAGCUACAAAACGGACAGGUCAUCCAGGCGGUCCAGGCUGUCACACUGCCCCUUAAAGAGAGCGUGAGUGUCACCACCCCCUCCCCACUUCCUUCUCUGUCUGCUUUAUUACUCCUUGUGCCCCUGGUUGCUGCAGCUGUCGGUGUGUUGCUAUGGAGACAGAAACACAUUUCUGAUCGCGGUAUUGAACAGUCUCUGUCUGUCCAUUCGGGUGAAGCAGAGAACAUCUAUGAGAAUCCUGCAGAUAUAAGACAGGCUCCUCCCCAGGGCUCGGUCUAUAUGGUGAGUUAUUGUGUCAUCCCCUGCACCAAGGCAUUGUGCAUAUAUGUCUGUGUUAAGCACUUUAAUGUAUUGGUGCAUACAAAGUCUCAUUAAGUCUCUUGCACCUUCCCUAAGCUGUCAGCAGAUACAUCUUCCUUCACACUUGCAACUCUUUCUCUCCAAUCUAUCAGCCCUGUCUAAGAUAAGCCUGCUGCAUAUCAGCAGUCAGCCAUACAUUAGUGGUAUUAACAAAUCAAUCUCAUUACACACUGGAGAGAUAUAAAUCUGGCCUCAGUGCCUUUUCUAUUCCUUUACUGCCCUACCCAGCCUCUUUCUUUUUCCUUCAGCACUCUUCUUCUUUGUACCAGGAUUUGAAGCCAAGAGGAGAAGAUGAUGUCUAUAAGGAACUGGAGCGAUAUGAGCAGUGUCAGGGCUGAUCACCUACCCACAUCUCGCCCUCGUCCAGCUGUCACAAUCUCUCUGUACCCAGCUGCCGUAAAAUACUUUUAUAAACAGGAAAAAGAGCUAAAUGUCAGAGCAGAAAAACAUCAAGGCCUUGGGGAAAUGCUGCUGAGCUGGGCUUUUCAUUCUGUAUAAGCUGCAGAUCCUCAUAAAAUGCUGAUUUACCCAAAAUGCCUUGCAUUUAUUUUUAGGCUAACAUACUUAUGUAUUGUAUUUUUUUUUUUUUUUAGCUUUGAAGCAUAUUAUAUUGUAGUCGUAUCGUAUCAUUUAAAAAAAAUGCCCUUGUGACUUUUUCUAAAUAAACAUUCUCCUAAAAUA